CUCUUUUACUGUGAAACUGCGAAUGGCUCAUUAAAUCAGUUAUCGUUUAUUUGAUAGUACCCUACUACAUGGAUACCUGUGGUAAUUCUAGAGCUAAUACAUGCGCAAAACCCCGACUUCGGAAGGGGUGUAUUUAUUAGAUAAAAAACCAAUGCCCUUCGGGGCUCCUUGGUGAUUCAUAAUAACUUCACGAAUCGCAUGGCCUUGCGCCGGCGAUGGUUCAUUCAAAUUUCUGCCCUAUCAACUUUCGAUGGUAGGAUAGUGGCCUACCAUGGUGGCAACGGGUAACGGGGAAUUAGGGUUCGAUUCCGGAGAGGGAGCCUGAGAAACGGCUACCACAUCCAAGGAAGGCAGCAGGCGCGCAAAUUACCCAAUCCCGAUACGGGGAGGUAGUGACAAUAAAUACUGAUACAGGGCUCUUUUGGGUCUUGUAAUUGGAAUGAGAACAAUCUAAAUCCGUUAACGAGGAACAAUUGGAGGGCAAGUCUGGUGCCAGCAGCCGCGGUAAUUCCAGCUCCAAUAGCGUAUAUUAAAGUUGUUGCAGUUAAAAAGCUCGUAGUUGUACCUUGGGCCCGUCCUGCCUGUCCGCCUCACCGCGAGUACUGGUCCGGAUGGGCCUUUCUUUCUGGGGAAUCCCAUGGCCUUCACUGGCUGUGGCGGGGAACCAGGACUUUUACUGUGAAAAAAUUAGAGUGUUCAAAGCAGGCCUUUGCUCGGAUACAUUAGCAUGGAAUAAUAGAAUAGGACGUGCGGUUCUAUUUUGUUGGUUUCUAGGACCGCCGUAAUGAUUAAUAGGGAUAGUCGGGGGCGUCAGUAUUCAGCUGUCAGAGGUGAAAUUCUUGGAUUUGCUGAAGACUAACUACUGCGAAAGCAUUCGCCAAGGAUGUUUUCAUUAAUCAGGGAACGAAAGUUAGGGGAUCGAAGACGAUCAGAUACCGUCGUAGUCUUAACCAUAAACUAUGCCGACUAGGGAUCGGGCGGGGUUUCUAUGAUGACCCGCUCGGCACCUUACGAGAAAUCAAAGUUUUUG
rnacentral:rRNA from 1 species